GUGGCUUUGCUCUUGAUUUUCCACAUUUUGUGUAUAUGUGUGUGUGUGUGUGGUGCAAAGAGGCCUUGAAAACAAGGAAGGCUGAAAAACAUCUUCACGGCUGUACGUUGGCAAGGACUGUGAGGAUGCAGAGAUGCAUUUUGUGCUUUCACACCCUAUCUCACCUGGCUCGUGGAAUACCAGACUGUAAAGAGAUGUAGUUAAAUAACUUCACUUUUUCUUUGGAAGGGGAAAAUGCUUCAACACUACAAACACAAUGACGUGACACGUACAACCUGACACCAAACUGAGGAAGAAAAUGGGUAGUGGAAACCGGCAACAGCAUCAGCAAACAGCCCUGGGACUGUUGAGACUGCUAAGUCUUUAUUGCCCUGCCCUGGUUUCAUUGGCCAUCCUCCUGGGACCUUCAGAGACACCAGUUAGGACCACUAUUGGCCAUUAAUUGAAGGAGCAACUGUGCUGUUUCAUUACCUAGGAUGUCUUUUCUUCUUGACUGUCACAUGGAAAGGCUCCUGCUGUGAGGUUUGGAUCAAAUCUAGAGUUUUGGUUCAGUUCUAUUUUUGUUUCUAAUGUACUCAAGUUCACACCGUUCACAGCCUGCCAUAAACCCCCCCUGUUAAACAUGCGCAUUGUUAAAACAUGCCGAAGACUUGGCUCAAAUCGAGCGUCGCCUAAUGGAAGCCAGCAGAACUGUGGGCUGGAACCAACCCCUAGCUGCAGUAUAUGACCACAGUGAACACCUGGACUUUCUGGAAAUGGCAAGAUAAACGGCAUUUUCAUUGGAGCCAUGUCUGAGAAGUGCCUAAACACUCGGCGCCCUAGCUCAGGUAAGAACAAUUCCUCUGAAAUGCUUCUGGUGCUCCAAGAGGGGCUGUCUCAGGCACCAGCUUUGGAAAGAAAUGAGGUUUCUGGCCAUGUUGCUUAUGAAGCAACUGUACUUUUAUAGCUAAAAUCAAGGCUCUCUCCUGAGCUAUCAAUAAAAUACGGCUGGCUUUUCCAACUGCUUUGUGUGCUCCGUCCGCUGGCACUACGGCUGGAGUCAGAAGGGGCUGUUUGCCACAGCUGCUGCCCAGCACAGCUGAAGAAGUGUCUUUUCUGACCUCUCACAUGCGGACCCUCAAGCUCCUUGGCCCCCAACAGACCACUCCACGCAAGCAUCCAGGCGCCAUUUUGCAAGGAACUGCUUUCCUUUUAUCCCCUGUAACACCUUCAUUCCACUACUCUCCUUUUGCACACGAGGAGACGAGGGCAGAGAGAGAUAAACAAGACAGCGAACGUUUUGGGGGGUUUGUGGCCCAGCUGGGACUCCUCUCCCUCAUGCACUGCUGGUUAUUUUUUGGAAUCUGGAAUGGCUGUAACAAUGGUGGUGUAAACCAGUGUAUACCUCAAGCCAACCAUGACUAGUUAAUUUCAAUGUCUUGGGAGAGGCUAUGUUGUAUGCCAUGCCUUCCUUAUUGGUGUUGUGCUGAUAAGGCAUUGCAUGGGCUACCCUUAACGUACCACGCUGAGAAGGGCUUUAUGUGCCAGCUAUGGGAGGCUGGAUUAGGGGAGGUUGUGUUGAGAAAAGUCAGAAACAAAAUCUCAAUUUUUUUCCCUGCCAUGCCAUAAAAAUCAACUAUUUUUUGUCUGUAUAAACAAGUUCAUUUUAGAACCAAGCCCCAGGAAUGUGGACCUGUGAUGAAAAUAUAUAAUUCAAUUUGAAGCUGAAUAUUUGGUGAUAAAAGUAUUCCCAGGAAUAAUAUUUAAAGAAGGAUUACAUUCUUCUAUACCUUAGUUGCUUUCUUCCUCUGGCAUAAUAAAUUAAGGGUCUGUGUACAUUUCACCCCAAACACCUCAGCUGAUACUUGAGGAAGUUCGCUUGAGAUUUUUGUACAUGUUUCUAAAAUGGCUACCACAUUAUUUGUCUUUACAUAAAAUAAAUGCAAAGCUUUAAGAUUUGUAGCCUCCUCUGUCACGCAGCAUCCAGAAGAUUGUGGGCUUUGACAGGGCGGUAGGUCUAAACCAAUUCUGGAGACAGCUGUUGACAACUGUGAAGUCUAUUUCGUCUGAAUAGCAAUGCUUAGAAAUAUCUUUGAUUUCCGUUGUGGAAAUAAGAAAAGAAUCUCGCCCAUGCCAUAAAUACCUUUAAACCACUAAGAUUCAUGUGAACAACAGUUGGAGACGAUUGUGUCUGAACUGUGCGUGGUUGAGGACACUACUGAGUGUAUCAGUAGCCUGUGCGUUGUGCAGGUCAUUUGGUGGGAGGAAUGGAAAGGACUCUGCAUUUGCCCCCACCAUAAGUCAGUGGUCCUCUGGGCUGGUGGUCGACAUAGAAAAGGGACCUCGAUCAUGCGCCUUCGUGCUCACAGUGUCAGCCUGCACUCACCAGCACCCCAGCAGGAGAAAGGAGACCCUGUGCCUCCAGUAUGGGGGCAGCCUGGGAAAGACUUGCGUCUCCAUCUCUUCUGAACUGCACACAGGCCAUCUUGACAAAGGCUGGAAACUGGGCAAGCAUACUCAGCAAAAUCCCUCCAUGGAGUAUGUGAUUACACGCGAUUAUAAAUCUAUCAAGAGCUUAUGGAAAAGUCAUUCUGACCUGUGCAUCUCUUAUGCCUCCUCGUUGUGAAGACUGAGAAAAAUAACUCUAAGAAUUCGAUAUUCUUACUUUUAGUAAAAGGCAUAUUUCUACAGUACUAUCAGAAUGCUAAACUGUGACUCUUAUGAAAUUUGGAGAUUCCUGGCACGGAGUCUUUUUUGCCAUAAAAUGUACUCAUCGCAAAGCUUAAGUGAACCUCUGAGAUUUUGAAGCUGUAACCAUAGCAAACAUAACUUAAAGAGGGGAAAAAGUGUUUUGUCAGAGUGGUUUCAGCUCUAAAUGGUGCAAUUUCUAUUUCUCUGAGAUACGCUGUUCUUUUUGGUCUCAUAACAGAGUUGGUAAUAUCAAAGAAUUCCAGUGGACUAUUUCAGUUAUAAAAGAAAAUUAAGUUUGAUACAUGACUACUCAAAGGGCUUUUGAAAAUAUCGUGGCAGAAUGACCUUCAAAGAAAGUGACAGUCUCAAUAAACUCCCAGCACAGCUGUGAUAUCAACCCCCUUUCCUGGGAUCCCGAGGUACUGCAAAAGCUUUCAGGAGUGGGAGGUAUUUGCUUUUCAGCCCAGCUUGAAUUAUUUCUAUAUUAGGUUUUAUUGAAUCUAUAUGUGGCUAUUUUAUGGCUCUUUAAUGUUUAUGAUGUAUUUAUUAUCAUUCCUAUAUUUUCCCUGCAGCUCUACUGAAAAGAGACUGUCUAAAGAUUGUGAAGCUAUUUGUUAUUGUACCUUUAAUUUACAGCUGCUUCAUAUUUUUCAUUUGAAGAGUUUGGCAGUGUGAAUGACAUUAAUUAAGUCUUACUAUGACCAUCUGAAUUCAUAGUCCCACAUAAAAUGCAUUUUAAAUAGAGGUAAACUGAGUCCAGGAGCAGUCUGGGCAGCAAAGCAAGUUUACAACAGGGCCUGGGGAGGAACCUGCAGGUGGGAGAUCCCUGUUGGAAAUGCCAAGCUACAAAUUAUGUCACUAAGCAGAUCAAAAGCUUUGCUCCAUUGCUCAAUUGCCUCUCAAAAUUAGAGGAGUAAUAGUAAAACCCAGCCCGUUUCCCGGUGAGGAGUGUCAGCUGGCAGCAAAGGGAGAUGGAGUUUGGCUUGGCCCCAGAAGCAGAUCCAUGCCCAGCCUAAGUAACAAGGCUGGGAGGAAGGUGUGCAUUGUGCCCAGCAGCUCUAGUGUUCCCUUGGCUGCACUGUAUAUCUCAGCAUAGGCUUGGCAUCCAUAUGUGCUCAUGUGAAGAUAUCCAUGCCAUGAGUCCUGCCCUGCAGAGUCCUCGUGGCCAGAGUCCUUCACAUACUUGUCACUUGCCGUCUUCCUUUCUGUUUGCCAACUCUGACUUCCUCUGAAAGUCCUGUUUACCUCUAAUGUCAGUUCAAACCUUUUUGUUGCUGAAUCCAAUAUCAACAACAAUUUGAUCCUUUCCUUCUGUCCGACUAAGUCCCCAACUCAUUUUAAUAGAAAUAACUUAUACUAAGACCACAGUAUCAGAGGAAAACCCAGAUGGGAAGUGAUCUCAGGAAGUCAACUAGUUUAACCUCUGCUUACAGUCUUCUCAAGCCUCUUGUGUUCAAUUAAUAAUGGUAAACCAUGACUCAGUUUGCAGGUGCUAAAAUAGCUAAAGAUCACAGAAGAAGCAAAGGUGA